UAUUUUAAUGGACAAACAUUUUGCUUUUCUUUCAAAAACAAGGACAUUUCUAAGUGACCCCAAAUGUUUGAACGGUAGUGUAUAGAUUUAUUGGAAAGUGAUAUUUUGUCAGAAUAGGAGUUCAGCUGUGUCCAUCCCCAUAUCAACAGUUUGACAUGGAUGAAAAAUGUUGUCCGGCCUUGGGAGUACACUAAUGAGCCUACUAUUAUUGCAUGAGGACGAUGUUUAAAUUGCUGCAUUCUUCUGAAUCAAGUAGAUCCAUCCAUUUUUGUGUGUGGGGUUAUUGGGUACAUGAGAUGGCAAGCGCUGGAGCUGUAGAACUAUAGAGCUUAAAUAUCUAUGGUUGGAAAAUGACUGUGUGUUGGCACACGGAUGUAUGUUGUGCAGAUAAUGUGUAUGUUUGGCUACAGCAUGGCACUUAGAUAUGUAGUUUCUAAAGACAUAAGAUUUCCCCUAUAACCUACCAAUCUACGGAUCCACCAGCUUGACUGUGGUAGUUAUUAAUAUUAUCAAAGACAACAAAACCAUGUCUUCCACCAUUGGCAGCGGUCAGAGAGACCUUUACAGAAUGGUUUCAUAUUCCCAUGUUUGAUGAUUCUAUCUCUAGAAGUGAGAGGGAUGUCAGUGACAGAAUUGUUGCAGAAAAGCUGCCAUUCUUCAGGUGUUUCCAAAGUAUCAUGUCCCAAUAUACAUUAGAAUCCUUCCCUAUAGCAAAAAAAGAUGUCAGAUAAUUUACAUCCAUUUUUUAACAGGGUGUGAAAAGGGCUCUCGAAUCCAUGUAUUCUUACCAUGUUACAUUGGACCUUGCCUUGCUGACUACAUUGAAACUAUGAGAUAUGUAAAAUAUUCGGCAUGGCGUCGAAAGUGUUCCACAAGGAUGCUGGCCAACGUUGACACCAAUGCUUCCCACAGUUAUGUCAAGUUGGCUGGAUGUCCUUUGGGUGGUGGACCAUUUUUGAAACACACAGGAAACUGUUUAGCGUGAUAAACCCAGCAUCGUUGCAGUUCUUGACACAAAACGGUGUGCCUGGUACCUUCUACCAUACCCUGUUCAAAGGCACUUAAAUCUUUUGUCUUGGCCAUUCACCCUCUGAAUGGCACACAUACACAAUCCAUGUCUCAAUUGUCCUAAGGCUUAAAAAUCAUACUUUAGCCUGUGUCCUCUCCUUCAUCUACACUGAUUGAAGUGAAAUCAAUAAGGGAUCAUAGCUUUCACCUGGAUUCACCUGGUCACACUAUGUCAUGGAAAGAGCAGGUGUUCUUAAUGUUUUGUCCACUCAGUGCAUACUACAGUUUGAUUCUGCAAUGUAAUAUUCAUUUAUUUAUUUUACAAUUUAGACAAAGAAUUUGGCCACAAGUAUUUCAUUAACAGUGUGAAACUAAUCACAGGGGUCAUAUAAAUACAAUGGUCCUACUGAGCAUAUUUUCUCAGUAGGCCUACCUGUUUAUACAUGUUGAUUUAGAUUGAAAAUGUAUUAUUAUGCAAUUAUUUAACUACAACACAGAUUAUUUGCCCCCCAAAACAAUUAUGUUAGGUUGCAUAUGCCAGCUGCUUCCAGUGUAGUGUGAUCAUUAAAGUCACAAGGGAAAU
rnacentral:lncRNA from 1 species